AUACGUAGGUGACAAGCGUUAUCCGGAUUUACUGGGCGUAAAGGGCGUGUAGGCGGUCUUGCAAGUCAGAAGUGAAAUUCCUGAGCUCAACUCGGGCGCUGCUUCUGAAACUGCAGGACUUGAGUGCUGGAGGGGAUAGCGGAAUUCCUAGUGGAGCGGUAAAAUGCGCAGAUAUUAGGAAGAACACCGGUGGCGAAGGCGGCUAGCUGGACAGUAACUGACGCUGAGGCGCGAAAGCGUGGGGAGCAAACAGAAUUAGAUACCCUGGUAGUCCACGCUGUAAACGAUGAAUACUAGGUGUAGGGGGUAUCGACUCCCUCUGUGCCGCAGGUAACACAAUAAGUAUUCCGCCUGGGGAGUACGGCCGCAAGGUUGAAACUCAAAUGAAUUGGCGGGG
rnacentral:rRNA from 1 species